AGCUGACAUCCAAUUUGCAUUAUAGUCUCUGGCUCGCUCCUCUAUAGCACCCUCUUCAUGCUUGAAAAUCAGCAGAGAAAUGGAUUUCAUCAAAUCACCAACAACAAUGAAAUCCCCACGUGUUUGAACAUAAAGAGCUAAUAUAUGACCAUGGUGUCCACAUUCUGUCUGCAAUUCUCGGCUGCCACCAUCCUCACGCGAAGCCCACUUGUACAAUUGAAUCUUCUGAUUGAUUGCAGCAAGCAGUUUCCCAUUGAAGGCAUUUAGAGAGUAGACAGCUCCCUUAGUUUCCUUCUCAGCAAUUAGCUGGAGCUUUCCAUCUUCAACUAUAAAAACUAAAAUUCGGCCCUUAGUAGGUUCAUUU
rnacentral:misc_RNA from 1 species